rnacentral:rRNA from 1 species
GAUGAACGCUGGCGGCGUGCCUAAUACAUGCAAGUCGAGCGAACGGACGAGAAGCUUGCUUCUCUGAUGUUAGCGGCGGACGGGUGAGUAACACGUGGAUAACCUACCUAUAAGACUGGGAUAACUUCGGGAAACUGGAGCUAAUACCGGAUAAUAUUUUGAACCGCAUGGUUCAAAAGUGAAAGACGGUCUUGCUGUCACUUAUAGAUGGAUCCGCGCUGCAUUAGCUAGUUGGUAAGGUAACGGCUUACCAAGGCAACGAUGCAUAGCCGACCUGAGAGGGUGAUCGGCCACACUGGAACUGAGACACGGUCCAGACUCCUACGGGAGGCAGCAGUAGGGAAUCUUCCGCAAUGGGCGAAAGCCUGACGGAGCAACGCCGCGUGAGUGAUGAAGGUCUUCGGAUCGUAAAACUCUGUUAUUAGGGAAGAACAUAUGUGUAAGUAACUGUGCACAUCUUGACGGUACCUAAUCAGAAAGCCACGGCUAACUACGUGCCAGCAGCCGCGGUAAUACGUAGGUGGCAAGCGUUAUCCGGAAUUAUUUGGGCGUAAGCGCGCGUAGGCGGUUUUUUAAGUCUGAUGUGAAAGCCCACGGCUCAACCGUGGAGGGUCAUUGGAAACUGGAAAACUUGAGUGCAGAAGAGGAAAGUGGAAUUCCAUGUGUAGCGGUGAAAUGCGCAGAGAUAUGGAGGAACACCAGUGGCGAAGGCGACUUUCUGGUCUGUAACUGACGCUGAUGUGCGAAAGCGUGGGGAUCAAACAGGAUUAGAUACCCUGGUAGUCCACGCCGUAAACGAUGAGUGCUAAGUGUUAGGGGGUUUCCGCCCCUUAGUGCUGCAGCUAACGCAUUAAGCACUCCGCCUGGGGAGUACGACCGCAAGGUUGAAACUCAAAGGAAUUGACGGGGACCCGCACAAGCGGUGGAGCAUGUGGUUUAAUUCGAAGCAACGCGAAGAACCUUACCAAAUCUUGACAUCCUUUGACAACUCUAGAGAUAGAGCCUUCCCCUUCGGGGGACAAAGUGACAGGUGGUGCAUGGUUGUCGUCAGCUCGUGUCGUGAGAUGUUGGGUUAAGUCCCGCAACGAGCGCAACCCUUAAGCUUAGUUGCCAUCAUUAAGUUGGGCACUCUAAGUUGACUGCCGGUGACAAACCGGAGGAAGGUGGGGAUGACGUCAAAUCAUCAUGCCCCUUAUGAUUUGGGCUACACACGUGCUACAAUGGACAAUACAAAGGGCAGCGAAACCGCGAGGUCAAGCAAAUCCCAUAAAGUUGUUCUCAGUUCGGAUUGUAGUCUGCAACUCGACUACAUGAAGCUGGAAUCGCUAGUAAUCGUAGAUCAGCAUGCUACGGUGAAUACGUUCCCGGGUCU